CGAUGUUGAGAAACCCUUGUUGCACACCAUACAAACAUGCGGUUUCUCUCCUUCAAUUUAACAACAAAAUCAAAUUACUUGACCGAUGGUCAAUUGUUAAAGGACUUACGUCCUUAGAUGAGAGACGGUCGGUCAAAGGAUUUCCCACAAACUUCACACGGCAACAGUACUCUCUCUCCUCUUUUAAUCGUCGUUAAAAUACUACAGUCUAAAUGAUCCCCUGUCAAGGAUAACGUUGAUGACGAGGAUUCCUCAGACGUAGACUCGUAUUCGUCUACCUCGUAGUACGGAUGUGAAAUCGUUGAUGACGAAUGAUGAGAGAGCAAUGCCAUGGAUAAGUCUAAUGGGGAUUCUUGAGCACAAAAUCUGGUUAGUCCGAUCUCCUAGCAAAUAUCCCUGAUCGCGACUGUAACCAUCCCUCUCAUGGUCACCCGUUUAUCCGGCGGUUCUCUUCUUCGGUCGGCGAGCCCUCCUGUUCGGAAUUGAAGGUUCGCUGGCAUUGUACUGUCUUUUAUAUCCCCCGGUAAGCGCAGGGGUCUGCGCAUUUGAAUCAUGAGCGAACGAACGAGGCACCUUGUGAUCCAGCCGACAAAAAUACCGGCGCAUAUUUGCAUUUCAGAUUUGUUAGCCGACUUUCUUUCCUUCUUUUUCGAUUGGCUCGCGAUUGCGCCGAUUAACGCGAUUGCACCCGGUCAAGAUUUCAAUCGCCGAAC